rnacentral:misc_RNA from 1 species
AUGACAAAACGCCGUGCGAGCAAUAAAAAGCCUUCGGGUUUGAACAAAUCACUUGGUAAUUCGCUUAGCAACGAUCGUGAGAAAACUAGGAAAAGUCAUCAACGUGCAAAGUACGAUGGAAACGACAUUGAGAAUCCAGCUUUCAUGGAACACGAAGUCAAUCAUUACAUCGACUCGGUGACAGACGAAACUAGUUUGGAGGAGUUUUUGGCUAAAGCAGAACUUGCUGGAACUGAAUUCACCGCCGAGAAGGAGCAGUUCAAGAUUAUUGAAAAGAACUCCGCUAUUGUCGUCCCAACAAGGCUGGACUACCGUGCCAAUCUUGACCUUCAAAAGGAGAACGAGCACCGUCUUCGGAUUCCAAGACGUCCAGCAAAGGAGCUCUGGGAGAACAUGGAGGAUUUGACUAAGCUGGAAAACGAAGCAUUCCUUCAAUGGAGGUCCGACCUGAGCGAGCUGCAAGAGGUGGACGGACUGGUACUGACUCCUUUCGAGCGAAAUCCUGACAUGUGGAGAGAGCUCUGGAGAGUUGUCGAGAAGAGCGACAUCAUUGUUCAAAUCGUGGACGCUCGAAAUCCAUUGCUGUUCCGCAGUAAAGAUUUGGAUGACUACGUCAAGGAAGUUGAUCCCGCCAAGCAGAUUCUUCUUCUCGUCAAUAAGGCAGAUCUUCUGAAACCGGAACAACAGGCCAGCUGGAGGGAAUACUUCGAAAAGGAAAAUAUCAAAGUAAUUUUCUGGUCGGCUAUCGAUGAAGUCUUAGAUCCAAUCGAUGAAGACGCAGUAGAAACAUCAAAUCCAUCAACUUCCACACAUAUGUUCGUAACGAACAAGGAUGAGCUGAUUGCGAAGUUCAAGGAACUUGGUCACGUAUCAGAUGAGCCGUCAGCAAAGCCAGUCAUGGUUGGAAUGGUUGGCUAUCCUAACGUUGGAAAAAGUUCUACGAUCAACAAGCUGGCUGGUGGAAAGAAGGUUUCAGUAUCAGCAACACCCGGAAAGACGAGACAUUUCCAAACCAUUCACAUCGACAGCCAACUAUGCCUUUGUGAUUGUCCCGGACUUGUCAUGCCUUCUUUCUCUUUUGGACGAAGCGAAAUGUUUUUAAACGGUAUUCUUCCCGUUGAUCAAAUGCGUGACCACUUCGGCCCAACGUCGCUUCUACUCUCCCGUGUUCCAGUUCAUGUCAUCGAGGCUGAUGUUCAAGGAUGUUGUCAGUGGAAAAUUGAUUUGGGCAGCCGCACCUCCCGGAGUUGAGCAAGAAGAGUUUGACCGAAUCUCCUAUCCAGACAAGAAGACUCGUGAUAUUGGUCGGGUGCAGAUGGAAAAGCUUGCCAAGCUUCAGCUUCUCGAGGGUGAUGAGUUGAAGGGAUCACAAUUUGACUCUCAACACUUUGUCGGAUCAAUCGGAGUUGCUCAUGUCAGAGAUUCAAAAGCAUUGCCUCAAACGUUAGGAACCGUCAUUCCAACUGCUCCUACCGAAAACAAUGGAAAGAAGCAUUACAAGGGAAAGAAGGACAAAUUGAGGAGGAUUUAUAAUGAAUAA